CCCCCUGAAGAAAAUGAAAGGGAAAAUGGACAGGAGAUUCUUCUGUCCCUCAUAAGGAGCAGUGGGAAGUUGAUUUUAUUAGACAAACUGUUGACAAGACUUCGAGAAAGGGGGAAUCGAGUGCUUAUCUUCUCUCAGAUGGUGAGAAUGUUGGAUAUCCUGGCUGAAUACCUAACUAUUAAACACUAUCCUUUCCAGCGUCUGGAUGGUUCCAUCAAGGGAGAAAUCCGAAAACAGGCACUGGACCACUUCAAUGCAGAUGGGUCUGAGGGGUUUCCAGGUAUAAGGGCUUAUUGGACUGUGAAACUGUUUCUGAGAAGGCCACUGCAUAAAGUAGUAUAUUGCAUUGUGUACAGGACUUCUGUUUCCUGCUCUCGACAAGGGCUGGUGGCCUGGGAAUCAAUUUGGCUUCAGCGGACACAGUCGUCAUCUUUGACUCUGACUGGAACCCCCAGAAUGACUUGCAGGCACAAGCCCGAGCGCAUAGAAUUGGUCAGAAGAAGCAGGUAAAUAUUUACCGCUUAGUUACAAAGGGGACUGUGGAGGAGGAGAUCAUAGAACGGGCCAAAAAGAAGAUGGUAUUAG
rnacentral:sRNA from 1 species